ACCAGCAUGGUGGCACGUGCCUGUAGUCCCAGCUACUCGGGAGGCUGAGGUAGAAGGAUUGCUUGAGCCCAGGAGUUCUGGGCUGUAGUGCGCUAUGCUGAUCAGGUGUUCGCACUAAGUUCAGCAUCAAUAUGGUGACCUCCCAGGUGCGGGGGACCACAGGUUGCCUAAGGAGGGGUGAACCGGCCCAGGUCGGAAAUGGAGCAGGUCAAAACUCCCAUGCUGAUCAGUAGUGGGAUCACAUCUGUGAAUAGCCACUACACUCCAGCCUGGGUAACAUGGUCAGACCCCGUCUCUU
ensembl:misc_RNA Metazoa_SRP Metazoan signal recognition particle RNA